ACGGCUCAGUAACACGUGGACAACCUGCCCUUAGGACGGGGAUAAACCCGGGGAAACUGGGUAUAAUACCCGAUAGGUCUCGAUUGCUGGAAUGCAUCGAGAUUUAAAGCUCCGGCGCCUAAGGAUGGGUCUGCGGCCUAUCAGGUAGUAGUGGGUGUAACGUACCUACUAGCCUACGACGGGUACGGGUUGUGAGAGCAAGAGCCCGGAGAUGGAUUCUGAGACACGAAUCCAGGCCCUACGGGGUGCAGCAGGCGCGAAAACUUUACAAUGCUGGCAACAGCGAUAAGGGAACCUCGAGUGCCAGGUUACAAAUCUGGCUGUCGAGAUGCCUAAAAAGCAUUUCAUAGCAAGGGCCGGGCAAGACCGGUGCCAGCAGCCGCGGUAAUAC
rnacentral:rRNA from 1 species